UUGCGAGUGAGUCCCCUCUGCGAUUGCCGUGUGUGUCUGCGCCAGUGUCUGUGCCAGUGCCAAGAGCCAGUGUCUGUGUGUUUGUGUUUGUGAAAGCCAGGAUUGCACUGCUCCAGCUCCCCAGGAGCCACAGUCCGGAGCCAGGGCAAAGUGAAAGGCCGCAGCGGGUGACCCUGCGAUUCCGCGAUCUGCUCAGUGAGCUGGAAUUUCUCGUUGGACCCGAUUUCGUAGGGAGAAUUGCGUCAGUCCGCCGAAGAGAUGAGAAUCUUCUAAGCAGGUUACAAUCGCGCCACUAUUCAGCGACCAUCAGAUGAAACUAAGCCACUCGUCUUCAAACUGACCCCAGUAGCUAAAAGAUCGCCACCAAAGAAAAGGAAAAAAUCGCGGUACAUAGCUCAGCUCCACUUAGGAGCCAACUGCAGCACCUCUGUACGCCGUGAGAAUUGCGGAACCAACAGGAAAUUGAAUUUUUCAUUUGCAUGGGAUACAAUUUAGGAUCGAACUUCAAAUUUAUGCACUAUAAACUGAAAUUUACGAUGGAUUCUUUCAAGUCAAUUAGGAUUUCCAUAAUAACUGGACGCAGGUCAAAUACGAGUUAUGACGAAGAGAUGACAUAAAAUGACCAUCUACAUUUCCAUUUGUGACUCAAUUACGACGAAGGGGCCUACACAGACAACAAAAACGUGCUUUUUUGCAAUAUUAUAAUACAAGUUUAUCCACGGUUU